CCUACGGGUGGCUGCAGUGGGGAAUAUUGGACAAUGGGGGAAACCCUGAUCCAGCGACGCCGCGUGGGUGAAGAAGGCCUGCGGGUUGUAAAGCCCUUUCGGUAGGGACGAAAGCUCUUGCUCUAAUAAUGCAAGAGGUUGACUUAACCUACAUAAGAAGCACCGGCUAACUCUGUGCCAGCAGCCGCGGUAAUACAGAGGGUGCGAGCGUUAAUCGGAAUUACUGGGCGUAAAGCGCACGUAGUCGGCUUGUCAAGUCGGGUGUGAAAUCCCCGGGCUCAACCUGGGAACUGCAUCCGAAACUGACUUGCUAGAGUAUGGGAGAGGGAGGCGGAAUUUCUGGUGUAGCAGUGAAAUGCGUAGAUAUCAGAAGGAACAUCAGUGGCGAAGGCGGCCUCCUGGACCAAUACUGACGAUCAGGUGCGAAAGCGUGGGGAGCAAACAGGCUUAGAUACCCCGGUAGUC
rnacentral:rRNA from 1 species